ensembl:snRNA U6 U6 spliceosomal RNA
UGUCUUUAAAUAAAUAGUUUUAAUUGGAGUGAAUAGAUUAGCAUGGCCCCUGCACAAGGGUGACACGCAAAGUCGUGAAGCUUUCCAGAUUUUA